UGGCAGCUUCUGCUGGUGGCGGCAGCAGUCGGUGCCGCUUACUACUACCUGUCGCGUCGUAGGCUCUACCGACUUGCUGAGCAGGCACCUUCAGGGCUGAAAGCCUAUCCGAUCAUUGGACAUGCUUAUAUGUUCACCGGAAGCUAUGAAGAUCUAAUGCUUUCUUUGCAAAAGAUAGGUCGCGUAACUAACCAACAAGGUGGGCUUGCAAGUUUAUGGCUUGCCAAUAGACUGUUUAUUAGCAUGACAGACCCUACAGCUAUCGAAGUAGUGACUAAAGCUUGCUUAGAUAAAGACGAGACCACACUAAGGUGUACGAGGAUGGUCAUAGGCAACGGAUUAA